rnacentral:lncRNA from 1 species
CUUCAAGGAAACUCAUCAAAGCUCAUUUUAAACACAUAUAACACUCACAAACAUUCAGGCACAUUAUAAUGCUCAUCAUACUCAAAUCUUGACUCUCUUCUUACAUCAUAACCUCAAAUCUCUAGUAAAACGUUUCAAUGAACGCAUCAUUAAAAUUCUCUUUUCAUUUUCAUGCACAAAAUUACUCAAUUAUUCAAACAUGAUCUCAU